UACGGCCACGUCACGUUGAAACACCUGUUCCCGUACGAUCACCGAAGUUAAGCAACGUCGUUUCAGGUCUGUACCUAGAUGGGUGACCGCUAGGGAAUUACAGGU